CCACUUGACCUAAAGUCAAUUGGCCAUAUCCUAACACCCAUCUUCUUAAAGUGAGCUUCGAUCUUCUACUGGCUGAGAGGCUUGAUCAGCGGGUCCAUCACAUUUUGCAUGGAGUCGACUCUCUGCAUCUUGAUGAACUUCUUCUCGAGAUAUUCGCGUAUGAUGUGAAAUCGCCACUCUAUAUACUUGGACUUCUGAUGAGAUCUGAGCUUCUUAGCGAGGGCUAUGGCAUCUGAUGGCAUCACACACAGCUCCACAACGAACUUCUUGAAUCAAAAGACUUCCUUAGCAGCUUCAAAGGCAGCCAUG
rnacentral:lncRNA from 1 species